rnacentral:rRNA from 1 species
AGAGUUUGAUUCUGGCUCAGGAUGAACGCUGGCGGCGUGCCUAACACAUGCAAGUCGAGCGGACCGUUGCUCAUUUCAGCUUUGCUGAUUUGAGCAACGGUUAGCGGCGGACGGGUGAGUAACGCGUGGGCAACCUGCCCUGUGCAGGGGGAUAACACAGCGAAAGCUGGGGUUAUACCCCUUAAAACUCCGUUCUCGCAUGAUAGAGUAGUCAAAGCUUUAGCGGCACAGGAUGGGCCCGCGUCUGAUUAGCUAGUUGGUGGGGUAACGGCCUACCAAGGCGACGAUCAGUAGCCGACCUGAGAGGGUGAUCGGCCACACUGGAACUGAGACACGGUCCAGACUCCUACGGGAGGCAGCAGUGGGGAAUAUUGCACAAUGGGGGAAACCCUGAUGCAGCAGCGCCGCGUGAGCGAAAGAAGCCUUCGGGUCGUAAAGCUCUGCCCUACGGCAAGAAGUAUGAGGGUUCCUUCUGAGGAAACCCCGGCUAACCUCGUGCUAACAACGGAAGGCAUAGCUCAGGGGCCAGCGUUGUCCGGAAGCUAAGGGCGUCAAGGGGGAGCAGUCGCCCGGAAACCCCUGGGCUGAAAAGGGCCUGGUUAAGCCGGCCGAACUCCGGAAAAUGCAAAGGCUACUGCCUACGCAGGGAAAUAAACUUUCAAAACUGCCGGGGGCAACCUUGGAAUUGAAAAGAAAUGCAAGUUUCCAAAGGGGCUCUCUGGACUGUAACUGACGCUGAGGCACGAAAGCGUGGGGAGCAAACAGGAUUAGAUACCUGGUAGUCCACGCCGUAAACGAUGAGUGCUAGGUGUCGGGGGUUCACACCCUCGGUGCCGGAGUUAACGCAAUAAGCACUCCGCCUGGGGAGUACGGUCGCAAGACUGAAACUCAAAGGAAUUGACGGGGACCCGCACAAGCAGCGGAGCAUGUGGUUUAAUUCGAAGCAACGCGAAGAACCUUACCAGGACUUGACAUCCCUUUGACAGCACCUUAACCGGAGCCUUCCCUUCGGGGACAAAGGAGACAGGUGGUGCAUGGUUGUCGUCAGCUCGUGUCGUGAGAUGUUGGGUUAAGUCCCGCAACGAGCGCAACCCUUGCCUUUAGUUGCCAUCAGUAAGGCUGGGCACUCUAGAGGGACUGCCGGUGACAAACCGGAGGAAGGUGGGGAUGACGUCAAAUCAUCAUGCCCCUUAUGUUCUGGGCUACACACGUGCUACAAUGGCUGGUACAACGGGCAGCGAAGGAGUAAUCCGGAGCGAAUCCUACAAAGCCAGUCCUAGUUCGGAUUGUGGGCUGCAACUCGCCCACAUGAAGCCGGAGUUGCUAGUAAUCGUGAAUCAGAAUGUCGCGGUGAAUGCGUUCCCGGGUCUUGUACACACCGCCCGUCACACCAUGGGAGCUCAGGGCACCCGAAGUCAGCACUAGGCGUAAGCUGAAGCUGCCGAAGGUGAAAUGAGUGACUGGGGUGAAGUCGUAACAAGGUAACCGU